rnacentral:lncRNA from 1 species
AUGAGCACGACAUGGAGCUGGGGCACUUCCUGUACGAUCACAGUGAGAAGAAGCUGCAGUGUGUGGACUGCACCAAGGAACACAUCAACAGCAUCGAGGUCUCCUCACAGACGGUGCGUAGUGGGGCUCCUCUGCAGUCUAAAAUCAGCAUAAGACACGUGAACAUCACCACAGAUGUGGGGAGGAGUGGCCAGCUGUGGCUAUCCCUUCUAUGAGGGGCAAGGGAUGGUGGAAUGGUUUUGCUGCUCUAGCAAAGCUGUUGGGAGUUAGGCAUUGGGAGCAAAACCCCAUUGUGUCUCUGGGGCACUAGGGGUCCACAGCAAUGCCCAGCUUGCUAUGUCAAGGAGCCAACAUCCACCCACAGCCUAACAAACCAACAGACUGGCCUGUUCCUGAUCUCCUUUGGACCCACAAAACCCAUCUCAGAGGAUGCCAUGGUGUGUCCAAUGAUGCUCAUCUCCCUCCCUCUGCUUGCUGCACCUUUGCAGGAGGAUUGUGUUGCAGCCCAUUUGACAGACAACCUGACAUACACCUUCUGGGAGAGCAGCGGGCUCCCGGGGCAGCACUGGGUGCGGCUCAACAUGAAGAAAGGCGUCAUUGUCAAGAGGCUCUGGCUGACACUGGAUGGGCAGUCCAGCUCCUAUGUACCCAGGAGAGUGGCUGUGUAUGGGGGAACACCAAGCAGGCUGCAGCACCUGAGAACAGUCCUAAUUAACGAGAACAGCUACCAGAAUGUCUGCAUCCUCCGUGACAUGAAAACCCACAUGCCGGUGCUGGAGAUCCGCUUCCUGGA